GUUUCCCUGCCAACGCAGUACAAUAGUUUGAAUCAGGAUCCCGUGGGUGCACUGUCAUCUACUUUUGCCCGGCUACAGUCCUCUAAGCCACUUCGCGAGCUGCGUGAAUCUGCAAAAGCUAUCACGAAACAAAUGCCGGUUCCUGUACAAGAAGUGACGGCAAAGGUCGAUGAGUAUGCUCGUGGCAUGAUAAGUGGAUCUGGAUCAACGCUAUUCGAAGAGUUGGGUCUAUACUACAUUGGAACAGUUGACGGGCAUAAUCUUCAAGACCUCGUGGCCAUUUUAGAAGAAGUGAAGUCGACGCGAAGCGUGGGCCCGGUCCUCAUACAUAUUGUCACAGAGAAGGGUAGAGGGUACUCAUACGCAGAGGCUGCUCAAGAUAAGUACCAUGGAGUAUCUACAUUUGAUGUGGCUUCAGGAAAACAGAAGAAAUCUGCGAGCGGCAUUCCGACAUACACACAAUUUUUUGCCGAUGCUCUCGUAGGUGAAGCUGGUCUUGAUGAGAACGUCGUGGCUGUCCAUGCCGCCAUGGGUGGGGGAACAGGUCUCAAUCACUUUGAAAAGUUUUUUGCAGACCGCACAUUUGAUGUUGGCAUUGCGGAGCAGCACGCCGUAACUUUCUCUGCAGGGCUCGCAGUCGAAGGGCUAAAGCCGGUUUGUGCAGUCUAUUCAACGUUUUUGCAAAGAGGGUUUGAUCAGGUCGUACACGAUGUUGCUUUGCAAAAGUUACCUGUGCGUUUUGCCAUGGAUCGUGCUGGUCUUGUCGGUGAGGAUGGGCCCACUCACGCCGGUGCGUAUGAUGUAACAUUCAUGGCAUGUCUGCCUGAUAUGGUUGUGAUGGCUCCAAUGAAUGAAGCAGAGCUCUGCCACAUGGUUGCGACCUCAAUUUCUGUUGAUGAUCGACCUUCAUGCUUUAGGUAUCCACGCGGCACAGGCGUAGGCCUCGACUUGAUCGGAGAGGGGGUUGAAAUGUUACGGCCAGGAUACAAAGGUGGCAUACUGGAAAUUGGAAAGGGAAGGAUCAUACGGGAAGGAAUAGACGUCUGCUUGCUCGGCUACGGGACCUGCACCAAUCGUUGCAUAGAAGCCGCGGAGGUACUUCGAGAAUUUGGUAUUAGUGUCACUGUGGCCGAUGCUCGCUUUUGCAAGCCAUUGGACACUAAAAUGAUCCGCCAGCUUGCAAAAAGUC
rnacentral:lncRNA from 1 species